CUCAAGGAAUUGACGGGGCCCGCACAAGCGGUGGAGCAUGUGGUUAAUUCGAAGCAACGCGAAGAACCUUACCAGGUCUUGACAUCCCUGACAACCCGAGAGAUCGGGCGUUCCCCUUCGGGGGACAGGGUGACAGGUGGUGCAUGGUUGUCGUCAGCUCGUGUCGUGAGAUGUUGGGUUAAGUCCCGCAACGAGCGCAACCCUCGACCUUAGUUGCCAGCAUUCAGUUGGGCACUCUAAGGUGACUGCCGGCUAAAAGUCGGAGGAAGGUGGGGAUGACGUCAAAUCAUCAUGCCCCUUAUGACCUGGGCUACACACGUGCUACAAUGGGCGGUACAAAGGGUCGCGAACCCGCGAGGGGGAGCCAAUCCCAAAAAGCCGCUCUCAGUUCGGAUUGCAGGCUGCAACUCGCCUGCAUGAAGCCGGAAUCGCUAGUAAUCGCGGAUCAGCAUGCCGCGGUGAAUACGUUCCCGGGCCUU
rnacentral:rRNA from 1 species